rnacentral:lncRNA from 1 species
CGAGGAGAUCCCAAUAUCGCUUCGUCUUUCUGGUCCCGCACGGAGUUCCGGACGAUCCUGAAUUUUCCUGGCUGUUGCAUAUGGACAGCAGACGAGGCAGGGUCAGCCGAUGCACCGAAGUGCCGUGAGCGCGGCCGAGCCGAAGGUAUGUGGCGAGCGCUCUCCACCUCCAUCACCUUGAGGAGUAGACCAGAAGGGGGCGCUU